rnacentral:rRNA from 1 species
UACAGAGGGUGCAAGCGUUAAUCGGAAUUACUGGGCGUAAAGCGUGCGUAGACGGUCAUGUAAGUCGGGUGUGAAAGCCCCGGGCUCAACCUGGGAAUUGCAUUCGAGACUGCAUGGCUAGGAUGCGGAAGAGGGAAGCGGAAUUUCCGGUGUAGCGGUGAAAUGCGUAGAUAUCGGAAGGAACACCAGUGGCGAAAGCGGCUUCCUGGUCCAGCACCGACGUUCAGGCACGAAAGCGUGGGGAGCAAACAGG